rnacentral:rRNA from 1 species
UACGAAGGGGGCUAGCGUUGCUCGGAAUCACUGGGCGUAAAGCGCACGUAGGCGGAUUUCUAAGUCAGGGGUGAAAUCCUGGAGCUCAACUCCAGAACUGCCUUGAUACUGGGGAUCUCGAGUCCGGAAGAGGUGAGUGGAACUGCGAGUGUAGAGGUGAAAUUCGUAGAUAUUCGCAAGAACACCAGUGGCGAAGGCGGACUCACUGGUCCGGUACUGACGCUGAGGUGCGAAAGCGUGGGAGC